rnacentral:tRNA from 1 species
GGCUUCGUAGCUCAGUUGGCUAGAGCGUUGGCUUUACGAAAGCCUUCAUCUUGCUGGUGUGGGUUCGCACACCACCGAGGCUA